UACGUAGGGGGCAAGCGUUGUCCGGAUUUAUUGGGCGUAAAGAGCGUGUAGGCGGCUUUACAGGUCCGUUGUGAAAACUCGAGGCUCAACCUCGAGACGCCGGUGGAAACCGUAAAGCUAGAGUCCGGAAGAGGAGAGUGGAAUUCCUGGUGUAGCGGUGAAAUGCGCAGAUAUCAGGAGGAACACCAAUAGCGAAGGCAGCUCGCUGGGACGUUACUGACACUGAGAUGCGAAAGCGUGGGGAGCAAACAGG
rnacentral:rRNA from 1 species